ACCACAAUAAAAAAAUAAUAAAAUAAAAUAAGAGCAAACAUUUCUACAUAUAACGUGUAUUAGUUCAUUCUCACACUGCUAUAAAGAAAUAUAUGAGACUGGGUAAUUUAUAAAGAAAAGAGGUUUAAGUAGCCCUUGGUUCUACACAGGCUGUACAGGAAGUCUGCUUCUGGGGAUGCCUGUGGGGAUGCCUUGAGAAGUUUUUGCUCAUGGUGGAAGGCAAAGGGGGAGCCAGCAUCUUACAUGGCAGGAUCAGGAGGAACAGAGGGAACAGGGAGGUUCUACACGCUUUUAAACAACCAGAUCUUGUGAGAACUCUCUCUCUAUUACAAUGACAGUACCAAGGGGGAUGGUGUUGAGAAACCAUGAGAAGCCACCCCCAUGAUCAAAUUACCUUCCAUUAGGCCCCACUUCCAACAUUGGGGAUUACAAUUGGAUACGAGAUCUGGGGGUGGGAACACAGAUCCAAACCAUAUCAAUACAUAACAGGAAAAAUGAAAGAAUAACAACUUUAAAAAUAAUAAUUAAAAAAAUAGGCUAGAUGUGAUGGCUCAAACCUGUAAUCCCAGUACUUUGGGAGGCUGAGGCAGAUGGAUCACUUGAGCCUAGGAUUUUGAGGCCAGCCUGGGCAACAUAGUGAUAUUUCAUCUCUACAAAAAGUAAAAUAAAAUAAAAUAAACAAAGUUAGCUGGGCAUGGUGGCACAUGUCUGUGGUCCGUCCCAGCUACUUGGGAAGCUGAGGCGAGAGGAUUGCUGGAGCCUGAGAGGUGAAGGCUGCAGUGAGCUGUGAUCAUGCCACUGCACUCCAGCCUGGAUGACAAAUGAGACCCAGCCUCAAUAAUAAUAAUAAUAAUAAUAAAAUAUUUAAGUAAAAAUUUAUUUAAGCAUAAAAAGGCAAGAUAAAAUCAUUUGCCCCAAAUAAAAUAUAUACAUUUAUCUCUCUUCCCUUCAUGAACUACAUGCUUGACAAUGUGGUAGGAUUGUUCUCAAUAAGUGCAAUAGUUUGUAUACAACUUAGCAAAGGACCAUGUAUAAAUUACACAAACAAGCAUUUCCUAAAAUCAAUAAAGUAUAUUACAGAAAAUAAAUUUAGCUGUCCUGUAUCUCAUUUUAGGGAGUAAGAAAAAAGGUGAGGUUUUCUAUUUUGCCAUUUGAGGAGGCACCAGAGAAAGGUAAAGUCCAAAUUAAAGAAAAAAAAAAAAAAGAUAAAGGAUAUAAAAGGAAAAAUCUCCAGUGAAGUAAAUAGCAUUUACUUCUAUUCACAACUUCUGGAAAUGAAGGACACACUUAGAGAAUCACAAAAUGCACUGGAAAGACUCUGCAAUAGAAUUGAACAAAUAGAAGGAAGAACUUAACCCAAUCUGACAAAGACAAAGAGAAAAGAAUUUAAAAAAAUGAAAAAAGCAUCCAAGAAGUUUGG
rnacentral:lncRNA from 10 species